GUCGCUCGCGCUGCAGCAGGGUCCAGAGUGUUCGUACGGCCGGCUGCCUAGAGGGGCGGUCGGGGAUGAGGCCAAACCCCAGGGGGAGGGCAGCCUGCGCUCCGGUUCCCCAUCAUUCUCGAGGGAUUUGCAGCUGAGAAGGAAUGGCUGGGUCCAGCACUGCCUAAGGAUUCUUCCAGGGGACAGACACGCGGGUGACAUGGAAAGACAAGACGCAGAUGGACAGAUGGCAGACAAGGACCGCGGCUGAGCAGGAGGCAGCAUCGACUCACUCGCCCAGGACCCGGGCCACCCCCAGCUCCUCGAGUGUGGUACAGAAUCGCUCCACCUCCUCUUCCUCCUCCUCCAGGGAGCUCCUGCGGCCCUGAGCGUCUGGCCAGCCAGACUCAAAGGUCUCCUCCGCGGCCCUGGGCAGCGAGCCCUCGGCCAACUCCAUGCCCACAAACUUGCCUGUGGGCAGGGGAGGGAGCAAUUACCUAGGGCCCCAGCUACUCCUCCAUCUGUGUUCCCACCCCACUCAAUCCUCCCGGUGUCUCCCUCCCCCCCCCUUCGCAGCCUGCCCUCUCUCUGGGCCCAGUUUCCUGUUUUUCUUCCUCAUUCUGGACCGAGUGGCCUGGGAAUGGGAGGUGACAGUCUGGCUCCAGCCAGCAAGGGGCAUGCCUGGCUCACAGCCCCGCCUGGGUUUGUCACCAGGGAGGGAAUGGGGGUGCUGCUGAAGCGGGGAUCUCCGGUGAGGUUCCCAUACCAGCACUGCCCCCGAGGAGGUGAUGGAGAGGGCAGGGUGUGUUUGUACGGCCCACAGAGCUCCACAUGUGCCAGGUGCAGGGUCUUUGGGCACCAAGGACAGGACCUGGGCUCACCCAGGCCAAGGCAGAACUCCCGAAGUGUGAGAAAGCCAGUGCAGGCCUGGUCCAAACUCUCAAAGACGGCCUCCAGCUGCUCGGGCGUUAGGGGCAGGUCGCUCUGCAGGCCCUGGCCAGGUAAGAAGAGCAGGAUUGAGCGACCAAGGACACCUAGGGCACAGGGCACCUCCUGGGGUGGGGACUCACCUGCAGGUCGUGCCGGGUGAUAAAGCCCUUGGCCUCCUUGUCACACAGUAGGAACAGCUCCUGCGCCUGCUCCAGCAUCAUUGUUCCCCGCGGGGGCCCCGCAGAGCCCCCCUUUUCCUCUCCUUCCUCCUCCUGGGCUUCCCCAGCCCCAGGUUCCGCCACGCUGGCCAUGGCAGCCGGUUGCGGCAGUGCUCUGAAGCCAGGGAGAGGUCAGAGCCUGAGAUGGGAAAGGAUCAAGAGCGUGGGGUGUACAUGGGAGUGUGUGCGGGAGAGCCAGGCAACACUUCCUCCUGCCAGGUGGGGAAGUGAAAGGCCGGGUAAU